rnacentral:rRNA from 1 species
GCGCAGCAGUCGAGAAUACUUUACAAUGCACGAAAGUGUGAUAGGGGAAUCCCAAGUGUUUCUUCUUUUUAAGAAGGAACUUUUGCCAUGUUUUUAAAUGGCAUGGCGAAUAAGAGCUGGGCAAACGGGUGCCAGCAGCCGCGGUAAUACCCGUAGCUCGAGUGGUGACCAUUAUUAUUGAGUCUAAAGCGUUCGUAGCUGGUUUGGAUAGUUCGUGCUUAAAUCUUUCCGUUUAACGGGAAGACAUGGUGUGAAUACUUCCAAACUAGAGGCCGGGAGAGGGGCUGGGAACUUUUCAGGUAGGAGUAAAAUCCUUUAAUCUGAAAAAGACCACCAGUAGCGAAGGCGCAGCCCCAGAACGGACCUGACGGUGAGGGACGAAGGCUAGGAGAACAAACCGGAUUAGAUACCCCCGUAGUCC